rnacentral:rRNA from 1 species
CCUACGGGGGGCAGCAGUGAGGAAUAUUGGUCAAUGGGCGGGAGCCUGAACCAGCCAAGCCGCGUGAGGGAAGAAGGUACAGCGUAUCGUAAACCUCUUUUGUCAGGGAACAAAGGCGGGGACUAGUCCCCGGCUGAGGGUACCUGAAGAAAAAGCAUCGGCUAACUCCGUGCCAGCAGCCGCGGUAAUACGGAGGAUGCGAGCGUUAUCCGGAUUUAUUGGGUUUACAGGGUGCGCAGGCGGCCUGUUAAGUCAGCGGUAAAAGCCCGGGGCUCAACCCCGGCGAGCCGUUGAAACUGGCGGGCUGGAGUUGGAGAGAAGUACGCGGAAUGCGCGGUGUAGCGGGGAAAGGCUUAGAUAUCGCGCAGAACCCCGAUUGCGAAGGCAGCGUACCGGCUCCACACUGACGCUGAGGCACGAAAGCGUGGGUAUCGAACAGGAUUAGAUACCCCAGUAGUC